rnacentral:rRNA from 1 species
GACGAACGCUGGCGGUGUGCUUAACACAUGCAAGUCGAGCGACGAACCAGUGCUUGCCUUGGGGCAGAGCCGCGAAAGCGUGAGUAACACGCGGGUAACGUAUCCCGAUUACUGUGACAACCCGAGGAAACUCGGGCGAAUACCCGAUGUGCUCUCCUCCCCUGCGUGAGGCGAGUAAAGGAGUCUCCGCCGUCCGGAACGGGCUCGGCGCGCGGCCGAUUGGUUUGUUGGUGGGGUAACGGCCUGCCAUGGCUGGGUUGGGUAGCUGGGCGGGGAGGAGGAUCAGCCGCACUGGGACUGAGACACGGCCCAGACUCCUACGGGAGGCAGCAGUGGGGAAUCUUGCGCAAUGCGCGACAGCGUGACGCAGCAACACCGCGUGGGGGAAGAAGGCCUUCGGGUUGUAAACCCCUUUCAGGAGGGACGAAGGCCGGCCGGUGAAUAGCCGUGCCGGUUGACGGUACCUCCACAAGAAGCCCCGGCUAACUACGUG